rnacentral:rRNA from 1 species
UACGGGGGGGGUAAGCGUUGUUCGGAAUUACUGGGCGUAAAGGGCUCGUAGGCGGCCAACUAAGGCAGACGUGAAAUCCCUCAGCUUAACUGGGGAACUGCGUCUGAUACUGGAUGGCUUGGAUUCGGGAGAGGAAUGCGGAAUUCCAGGUGUAGCGGUGAAAUGCGUAGAUAUCUGGAGGAACACCGGUGGCGAAGGCGGCAUUCUGGACCGACAUUGACGCUGAGGAGCGAAAGCCAGGGGAGCAAACGGG